GGGGGGAAAAUACUGCCCAAAAAUGGGGAAGCGAAAACGAGGAGUUCGCGGCUCAUUUGCUAAAAAAAGAUGCCAACAUCCUCACCGCCUCCUACGAUUUCCUCGCCUCGGCGCCCCAAUUCAAUCCUCGGCUCCGCCUCGUCUCCGCAUUCGCAGCUUGGCGGCCAUGAAUCGAUGAUCCGCACCGCACCGCGCCGCCGCGCGCGCGGAGGAGGGCGAUCCGGGCGGCCCCGCUUUGGGGACGGGGGGUGAUUCGGUGUCCGUUUGGGCGCGAAUAGGUUUGGGGAAUUGAGAGAGGGAGGGCGAGAUGUCGACGGAGCUCGAUCGUCGCGGCUCAUCGGAUCGGCUCCGCGAGCGGGUCAAGUUCAGGUUCUCCGGCUUCCGCGCCGUUCAGGUCAAAUGUUUUUUUCUCUUUUCUUUUUUUUCCGCAUUGAGCAGCGCUGCAUUGUUGAGCGAUUCGUAGGAGAUCAGUCUAUCCGGGGAAUAGCGAUGAAUGUACGACCCUAUGUCGUGGUCUGUUGCGAGAUUGAGCAUUUUACUAUCGAUAAUGGUCAAUUGUUGUGUGAAAUUUACUAGAAAAAAAUCAAUGUUGUGACUGGUGCUAAUGCGUUGAACAGUUUUAUUACAACACGCAUUGCUUGUAAGUAAAAGAAAUGUAUAUGGAAUACUUUCCCUCCUUAGCCAUGCUGUUUUGUUUUGAUUCGGCAAGAGAAUGCGACGAUAUUUGUUUUAGAUGAAAGGUCAGUGUAAUGAUGAUCGUGGAAAGUUGGGAUGGACCUUUAAUCUGAUUAUGCAUCAUGGGGUGUUCUCAAGAAAAUAUGUAUCGCGAGGUUGUGGGAGGUUAAAUUAGUACGAUGUGGGAGGCAAGUUACUUUAUGAGCAUUUUUUGCAGGCUCCAAAUAUGUAAGGUCAUCUUUGGUAAGUGGUGACAAUUCUUUUCUCAAAUAUGAUAUUCCUAAUGUAACUAUGAUAGUUUGAAUAGAAAAGGGACAUCCAGGUUUCAACAUUUCUGCUAAGUUCAUGUAACUAUUUUUCUAGUAGCAAUUUCAUCGAGUGUGACUUGGUGUGCACAACAAUGAGUGUACUUGAGUACCGGUGCAAAAUGGAAGACAUAUGUUUCUUUCCCGAUGACAUUUCUUAUUCCCGAUUUGUCAGCAGGUUCCAGUAGUAUCAGACAGGCUGAUGCUUUCAAUAGUUGCAGUGGACACUGGAAAAACAAUUGCCAAGUCCACUAAAGCCGCUGCACUUAGUGGAGCCUGUCAAUGGCCUGAUUCCAUCCUGGAAUCAAUUUGGUUUUCCCAAGAUCAAGUGUCUGAAGAAUUUCAGGAGUGUCAGUGCAGGUUUGUUGUUUCCAUGGGAUCAACAAACAGUGGUAUCCUCGGGGAAGUUUUCCUAAAUCUGACUAACUAUCUUAGUUCAUUAGAAUCUACUGCUAUCUCUUUGCCACUGAAGAGAUGCGAUUCUGGAACAAUUCUACAGCUUAACAUUCAAUGUCUUGGAGCAAAGUCUAAAACAAGUCGAACCAAUGAUGAUACAGAGUGCACAUCAGAUGGCUUUGACAGCAUGCUGAAUAGGACUACUCAUUCUUUGUCAGGAAAUGACUUAGGUGGUUCUUAUCAAGAUGAAGCUGGAAAUAGGGAUGCAAGUUUGUCAGCAUCAAGGUCUUAUUCUGGAGAUAGUACCACUGAUAGAACAAACAUGCCUCCUAGUGACAACUUGAAUGAUGAAUUGAAUACGCAGAGGCAUAAUUUUGCUAGUCCAGAUGCCAUCCAUGUUAGUGCAGAUCAUGUUGACGAGGCCAGUAGAUCAAACAAUUCAUCAUUCAGUUCUCAAACUCCAUCUCGAAACAUGCUGCAGGGUAAUAAUGCACAACCAUCUGCAAGUGAUCUUUCUCAGUUAUCAUCAGGGGUAUCUCAUGCAUCCAAAGAUGUCCUUGAAAAUGCUGAAGAGACAAUUGAUGAACUACGUGGUGAGGCAAAAAUGUGGCAGAGGAAAACUCGCAAACUCAAACAAGGUCUAGAGACAUUGAAGAAAGUAAGUACUGACAAAUCUAAGCAACGUUCUGAGCAAGAUCUGGAAAAAAUGUGGCAGAGAAAAACUCGCAAACUGAAACAAGGUCUAGAGACAUUGAAGAAAGAAUGUGCUGACAAAUCUAAGCAACAGUCUGAGCUAGAGCUGGAACUUUCUAUUUCAAUUUCUGAGCGAGAUUCCCUAAGGCAAGAAAUUGAAGAACUGAAACGUUCUUUGGAAGAGGUAACUGCACGCCAAACUAUUUCACGAAGUCCCAGAUCUGGGGAUGCGAUUGAGCUCCAGAAAGAAGUGGAAGAUGAUGUGCAGUUUCUGAAAGAAUCGAAUGCAAGCUUAGCAACCCAACUGAAUAAGGCCCAAGAGGCCAACAUAGAGCUUGUUUCUAUCCUUCAAGAAUUGGAAGAAACAAUAGAAGUUCAGAGAGCGGAGAUUUCUAACCUUUCUCAUACAAGUGAUUUGAUAGAUCAUGAGGUCUCCCCAAAUAAUCUGUUAAUUCAAGAAGAUGUGGAAUGGGCUAGAAAAGUGUCACUAAAAGAAGAUGAAAUUCUGAUGUUGAGGGAAAAAAUAGAUCGUAUGCUUCAUGUAGAAAAUCCAAACGGUGAAGGUUCUGGUGCUAUUUAUCUUGAAUUGGAAAAGGAAAAUGAUUUCUUGAAGGUCAAAAUACAAGAACUCGAGAAGGACUGUUCUGAAUUAACUGAUGAAAAUCUGGAGCUUAUAUACAAGUUGAAAGAAGUAAGUGAAGUAGCCAAAGGAGAGGAUCCUUCUGUUCCUAACAGUGAGGAAGUGUCCAGUGAGGGUGAUCUUUCUGACAGAUUGACAUCUAAGGUAAAAUAUCUAGAGACAAAAUGUGCUGAUCUUGAGUUGAAGUUGAUUAGUUUUAGGUCUGAGUCGAGUGAACUAGAAGAAAAGCUCCAAAAAAGCCAAGAGGAGCUAAAAGACAGAAUUCUUGAACUAUCUGAUCUGAGAGAUAAGCUUAGUGGUUUUCACGCCUUGGAGAUGGAGGAAGGAGACACUGAUAGUGCAAAAUCUUACAAAUUGAAAAGUGAAAAACUCGAUGAAAAUGAUAACAAAACCGAAUUAGAUGCUCUGAGGAGUACAGUUCUACUAAAAGAACAGGAAAUAGAGAGCUUGCAGCAUUCUAAAAAGGAAAUGGAGAGCUUCAUAUCUGAAAUUAUGAACGAGAAGAAUAAAUUGGAGGAACUUUUAGAAGAAUCACUUAAAGAAUGUAGCAUCACUGCAGCUUGCUUGGAUGAAAUGCGAGAAGAACUCCUCCUUCUCACCAGCAGCAUAGAUUCCCAUGUUUCCACCAACAACGUUCUCGAAACAAAGAUUACGGAGCUUGAAAGCUGCAAAGUUAAUCUAGAGUUGCAUAUAUCAAAGCUGGAACAUGAAAAUGUAGAGCUGUCAGAGUUCAUAUCUGGACUAGAGUCUCAGUUGACCUAUCUGGCAAAUGAAAAGGAGUUAAGCAUGCUACAAAUGGAUGAGUCUAGAUCACUUAUCACAAACCUUAAAGAUGAACUAGAACAAGUGGAAGCUCAAAAGGUGGAACUGAAGCUACAAAUGGAUGAGUCUAGAUCACUUAUCACAAACCUUAAAGACGAACUAGAACAAGUGGAAGCUCAAAAGGUGGAACUGAAGCUACAAAUGGAUGAGUCUAGAUCACUUAUCACAAACCUUAAAGAUGAACUAGAACAAGUGGAAGCUCAAAAGGUGGAAUUGAAGGAAAACCAGCUAGAAUCACACAGAAGGUUGUCAGAAGUACAAGAGGAUUCAGAGGCCCUAAGAAGGUCAAAUGCAAAACUGCAGGCUACAGUUGAUCAUGUUGUUGAAGAAUGCAAAUCUCUGCAGACUCUGACAGCUGAUCUAAAGAAGCAGAAGCUGGAAGUGCAUGGGUAUGCUUCACAUCUGGAGCAGGAAUUGGAGCAGUCAAAAAGAAAGACCAUGGAUUUCUGCAAAACGUUGGAGUCCCUAGAGGCAAAACUUUCUUCACUUCAGGAAGACAUAUCUUUGAAAGAGCAAUCGUUGCUUUCAGAGCUGGAGAAUAUAUUCCAAGAGCACAAGGAGCAUGAAGAAAGGAUAGAUCGUGUACAUUUACUUUUAAACAAGAUUGAGAAAGAAAAGACUGUUGAAUUAAGCAAUCUUGAGAGGGAGGUUAUUAGUCUUACUGCACAGUUAUCUUCAACAGAAGAGGAGCGAGAAAGUUCCACAUUGGAUACCAUCCGUGAGGUUUCCAUCCUUCGAGCAGACAAGGCUAAACUUGAGGCUAAUCUUGAAGAUGUCAAUGCACAGAUGAUACAUUACGAGUCUCAAUUGGAAGAUCUGCGGGAGUCUAAAACCAAGAUUAAAGACCUAGUUGACUCACUUAAUGCAUCCAAACAGAAUGAGGAAAUGCUCACUACAGAUGUUGACAAUAUGAGAAGAUCGAUAGAAGCUGCUAGAUCCAAUGAAGAUAACUUAAGGAAAACUUUGUGUGAACUAGAAUUGAAAUCCAAAUCCAGUGAUUAUGAGAAACAGCAGAUAAUUGAAGAAAUUUCUGUACUGAAAAUCCAGGUCCACAAAAUAGCAGGCCUCCAAGAUGAAGUUCUUACAUUACAAAGUUCUCUUGAUGAAGCUAAGUUUGAGAAAGGGAAGUUGGAAGGGCUGAUUCAAUCAUUGUCUGAAGAAUGUGAAGAACUAAAGGCACAAAAGGGGAUGUUAACAGACAAGGUCUCAUGUAUGCAGGACACUUUGAAUGCUGCCAAUGAAGGAAAACAAAUUGAAAUCUCUGCACAAACAAAGCUUGUGAUGCUAGGAGAUGAACCACCAGUUAAGGAAACAUCAGAUGUACUUGAAGCUGAGCUAAAAAGUGAACUAAGUAUUAUCAGGGGAGCUAACAGUGAAUACCAACAAAAAAUAUAUUCUCUUCAAGAGGAAAAUGAGGAUCUCACAAGGAGAAAUCAGCUUAUGGAGAAGGAGCUUGACCUGAAGACAAGCCAAAACAAAGAUGAAAAUACCAAUAAACAGGUGAGCCUCCAAGAUGAAGUUCUUAUGUUACAAAGUUCUCUUGAUGAAGCUAAGUUUGAAAACGGGAAGUUGGAAGGGCUACUUCAAUCAUUAUCUGAAGAAUGUGAAGAACUAAAGGCACAAAAGGGGAUGUUAACAGACAAGGUCUCAUGUAUGCAGGACACUUUGAAUGCUGCCAAUGAAGGAAAACAAAUUGAAAUCUCUGCACAAACAAAGCUUGUGAUGCUAGGAGAUGAACCACCAGUUAAGGAAACAUCAGAUGUACUUGAAGCUGAGCUAAAAAGUGAACUAAGUAUUAUCAGGGGAGCUAACAGUGAAUACCAACAAAAAAUACAUUCUCUUCAAAAGGAAAAUGAGGAUCUCACAAGGAGAAAUCAGCUUAUGGAGAAGGAGCUUGACCUGAAGACAAGCCAAAACAAAGAUGAAAAUACCAAUAAACAGGGUAAUGAUGCUAAUGAAAAUGGAGAUUCUCCAGUUAAUGAGGUCCCAGAGCUUCAGUCAAAGAUCCAAUUACUGGAAACUAGGCUUGCUGAGGCACUGGAGGAAAAUAAAUUGUAUAGAGGACAACUGAAGAGUCCAAUGCCAGAGGGGAAAUCUGCUAGUAAGGAUGGCAAAGAGAAUGAUGAUGACAAGAUAUCACAACUAGAGUCAGAGCUGAAAGAUAUGCAAGAACGGUUACUCAACGUGAGCUUGCAGUAUGCAGAAGUAGAGGCGCAGCGUGAAGAAUUAGUAAUGGAGCUCAAAACAGCAAAUGCAAAAAAGGGACGGUGGUUCUAGUGAGAUAGGGAACUACUGCGUGCCAUAAUCGUAAGGCCCACACAGUACAGGAAGAAUGAAAUCAAUUUGGCGGCUACAAAUUGCAAGAAGCUGAAUAAUUGCAAGCAAGUGCAGAACUAAAUGAUGUCCCCUGACUGUACUAAAGGCUCUACCCCAAAGAGUAGAGGACUGUAAAUUUGGCUGAGGCCCUGGUGAACAGUGGAGAUUCUCACUGCAAGGUUAAGAAAUAACUCAUUUUUGACCAAUCACUGUAAGUUAGAGUAAAAUUAUUGGUUCAUAUGACCACUGGAAUCACCCUGGCCUUUAUGCAGGUCCAACCUAAUAUCCUAAUUGUUGAUAAGUGUAGCUUUUUUUUGGGUGAAUUAUGUGUAAGAAGUAGGUAGCAUAUAGUUCAUCUCACUCUACACUUUGUAGGCUAUUGUUUUUUUCACGUAUAUAUACACACUCGAUUCUUUGUUCCAGCAAUUACUGAUCUUCUGGCCAAGGAUAUAGCGACUGAAUAAAAGCUACCAAUUUUCUUGUUCUUGUGCUCAAGUAAA